GUGCUCAAUUCAGCAGCACAUAUACUGGAAUUGGAACAAUACAGAGAAGAUUAGCAUGUCAUCCCUGCGUAAGGAUGACACUCAGAGUCAUGAACCAUUUCAUAUUUAA
ensembl:snRNA U6 U6 spliceosomal RNA